rnacentral:SRP_RNA from 1 species
CCGUGCUAGACGGGGAGCUAGCGGUGCCCUGCACCCGAAAUCCGCUUCAGCGGGGUUGAACUCCUCUCUAGAGGGCCGGUCUCGCCGCCUCUGGCCCGGAAACGGACGUUGAGAGCCAGACCCUGCGCGACGGAGCCCUGUGAACCGCGUCAGGUCCGGAAGGAAGCAGCGCUAAGCGGAGUGCUCCGAGUGCCGCAGACCAGCCUGGUUCGAGUCCGGGUCCAUGGCCAAGCGCGCGGGCUCCCGGUUCGACGAGAGGUGCACGG